GUGGAUGGGCAGCUGUUUUGAAGGAAUGCCUGGCUCCAGGCAGCUAUAGGUAACCACUGGGGGCUACCCAGAGUGGCUGCCACUCACCCAAAGAGGGGCCAGUCUUCCUCCAGAAAGACUAUUCUUACCAUC
rnacentral:lncRNA from 1 species